rnacentral:misc_RNA from 1 species
AGGUAGAAACUAACCGAAUAAUAACAUACUUUUAUAGGAUUAACCUUAAAUGAAGCCUUAAGGAAAUGAGUGACAAGUUCGUUCCCAAGUCUUCUCAGAAGAUCAAACUUCAAUCCAUCAAAAGAAGGGGUGGACCUCCAUGGAACACGUGAUUUCCAUUACACGUCGAUAAGGAGGGAAAAAGGUCAAGACUCUGACAGCUGACUGGACUGACCGAUCAUUUAUCCAUCAGGGAAACUAUAAAAAGCUCUACUUUUGCAUCUAAAUUUCGAUACUAUUACAUCUUCCUUGCAAAGCUCCAUUAUUGCACCAGGAACCAGUUGCAAUUCUCUGUCUGGAUGUUUGCGGAUAUCAUCAUACAGACCAAAAUCAC